ACCGAGUGGUUCCGCUACUGCCCAUCGCCCAGACUCUCCUACCAGGCAGUGUGACCCUGACUCUGUGACGGGUCUGAGGAUGCCCUCCGACGUCAGCUCUUAGAAGGUGUUACCUGCUUUCAGACUACCUCGCUGCGACGCACGUCCUACUUCCGGAAUCCCAACAUUUGACGACAGUGCGAUAUCCUUGGGCAUCAUCAAUUAUGGACGACGCGACUGGUUUCGCUCUCCUUCACGGCCGAUUGAGGCACGGUCGUCGGCGCCAUUAUGCCUCCCGCGUUCGCAACAAGCCUAAGUGACCCGUAUUUCUCGUACAUCCGCCAGACGAGUCGGCCUACACUUUCGGGAGCCGGGUUGGCCCCUUGACGUAGGCUAUGACCAUCUGAUCUCCUGUCGUUCCCACUCACCUUGAGGUCCACCUUGCCACUUUACACAUCUAUAGACCUCCUUGUGGCCACCGCUUUCGCCGAGUGACCCGACAGUGACUGCGACUCUACGCUUUCGGUCCCCUCGCUUGCCCUAAUCUAUGGGGCCAUCAGGACCGGCAUUUGCUACCCGUGAUCCGUUACCCAAAUGGAUACCUUGAGGAACGGCAUCGAU
rnacentral:rRNA from 1 species